GAGAAAGAAUGCAAGAGCUGCUAACUCAUGCCUCCAUACUUAACCAUAUGGCUUUUUCA
rnacentral:tRNA from 1 species